GGUCGAGUAACUCAGCCCGGCCAGAGUGCCUGUCUUACAAACAGGAAGUCGAAGGUUCGAAUCCUUCCUCGACCA
rnacentral:tRNA from 1 species